AUGCCAGUCUUAGUCCGUCUCAAUUGUUCAAUGGUCAAGCUGCAGGUAACGGAGCAUCUACUGACAACAAUCAGGUGGCUUCACAAAAUGCAGCAUCCGAAGUGCAAUCAAACCCUCAACUGAACACAGGUACAUGUUUAAUUCAGUCUUUGUAUGAGAUGAUCAAGAUGCUUUCCCAUGUUGCAUUUUAGUAUGGGAAAUAACAUCAAACCCUUCACCUCUACCUAGCUGAUUAAACUCAACUCCACGAUUUACGAUGGAUUUGCGCGGUGACUAGCUGUAAAAACAGCUUUCUUAUUUUCUCACCUCUAUUGCUUUUCUCUCGUGAAUGAGGUGACAUCAACAAACUUUCUACCUCAACCUCCAUUACCUACCACUGGACCUCAAGGUAAAUAUAUGAACAGCGGUCUGAGGAUUCUUCAGUGUAGUUCCAAAGUUGGCAUUACAAUGCAAAUAAAAUGUUGUCAAUAAGAAUUGUUUAUUUUCUCUCACAACUUUUAGUGAAUCAGGUAACCACUGUUGGUUUGGAAAACCCAGAGCUGAAAACCAGAAAAGAAAUGCUCAAAUUUCGCUAUAAUCUGACAUUUGACCCCAACACUGCUUACCGCCACCUGAAACUGGCUGAUGGGGACCGUAAAGCCACUCUGAAGGCAGAGAAGCAGAACCA